AAUAUAUUAAGUGAUGAGUCGUUUUCGUUUCUUAUUCAAGAGUGUGGUGCUUCGAUUGAACAAAUCAUUUUCCUUCAAGGGCGGUGCUGUUGGAACGACCUGAUAGUCGAGUCGUUAGUCAAGCACUGUCCCAAUCUGAAAUCGGUAACAACGUAUUUGCACGAGAGCUAUUGUAACAUCUUCCAGUCCUUUUUAAUAAAAAAGAAAAAUUCUCUAACAUCGAUUAAAUUUAUUCAACAAAAUCGAUUUCCUUUAGAAAUCUUGAAAGUGGUGGGUGAAAUUUCCCAAUUGAAACAGCUUUCAUUAGAAGUCUAUGCUGACGAAAAUGUGUACCACAUACAGAAGUGUGUCUCCCUGGAGAAGCUAGAACUCAAUAGUGGUUCAUACGGAACUAUAUAUACUAUCAACCUACAACAGAUUUGUGCUCCCCUUACGAAUCUCCGGAACCUAAGUUUGAAUAACUUUAAAAUUUCGCCCUUUGAAGACUUACAUUCAACUGAGUGGGUUAGGCUGGAAAGACUGACAUUGAUUCAAUGCGAAUAUCCCGAACUACCUUAUUGUCCAGAACUUAAAUAUUUGAGAUUUGAUUACCCCACAAGUCUCAUCGAAAAUUAUGGGUUGAAAUUCAUUCUCAAAAACGGAGCAAAUCUCAAAACAUUGUACGAAGACUGCCUACCACCAAUCAGUCCCGAUGGUUUCCUUGAAGUACUUAGGGCCUGCCCUAAACUGCGAUUCUUUCAUACUCGAAUGGAAUAUAUAAAACUCUAUGCAGGCUAUGUGUCUGCUAUUUUGGAGAUUCUUAAGGUGAAUGGAGUGACGCGGGAGGAUCCAUUAGAACUGAUUAUAUAUAGGCGUAUUAAAUGGAAAUGGUUUCGAAGACUACUUCUACGAGCGCCUAAUGCUGAGCUGAUCGACCUGUACGAGGGUGCUUAAUGAA